ACAUCUUCGGUAUUAUUUUCUAAUUCCAGUGUGAUAGAAGAGAAGCAUAUUCUCUGAAAUUAUGGGACAUUUUUCAUUUAUUUUUUAUUUAUUUAUUUUUUAGGAUGGAUAUAUUUCUUGGCUCAAAGAAAUGGUUUGUUCUCUGCUUCUGAGACAUUGGUGAAAAACUGUAAUUAAGGAAAGUACUUCAAAAUAUAGAAGCUUUGGACAUAUUCCAGCUUUCAGUAAGCCUCCUCCACAAUUAAUUUCUUUCCACACCAUUCAUCGUGGGUCAAGAUCUCUGUCACUGCUGUAUAAGGACCCUGGUAAUAGUAUAUGGAUUGUGUUGGAGAUAAAAGAUUGUACAAAUAUUGGAUGAAAUAUCUCCCUAGCAAACAGUCCUGUUGGUAAGCAGUUUGUAUAUGUUUUCUUCUCUUUUGCAAUAUAUAAUGGUGAGCUAUGCAAAGGCAAGUUUAUAUCAUGUUCAAAUAGACAUUUACUAAAUACAAAAAAUAUUUAAAAUGUCUACAGUUGUCUCUCCCCUUCUGAAAUAACUUCAGAACCACCAGAUUAACUUUCCACUCUUGAGAGAAAAGUUUUCAGUUUGUGUUUUGUGUAACUGUAUAUUACAAAGUUUU
rnacentral:lncRNA from 1 species